rnacentral:rRNA from 1 species
CCUACGGGUGGCAGCAGUGGGGAAUAUUGCACAAUGGGGGAAACCCUGAUGCCGCGACGCCGCGUGAGCGAAGAAGUAUUUUGGUAUGUAAAGCUCUAUCAGCAGGGAAGAAAAUGACGGUACCUGACUAAGAAGAUCCGGCUAAAUACGUGCCAGUAGCCGCGGUAAUACGUAUGGAGCAAGCGCUAUCCGGAUUUACUGGGUGGAAAGGGAGCGUAGGCGGUAAGGGAAGUCUGAUGUGAAAGGCCAGGGCUCAACCCUGGGACUGCAUUGGAGAGUGUUUAACUGGUGGGUCGGAGAGGCAAGUGGAAUUCCUAGUGUAGCGGUGAAAGGCGUAGAUAUUAGGAGGAACACCAGUGGCGAAGGCGGCUUGCUGGACGAUGACUGACGCUGAGGCUCGAAAGCGUGGGGAGCAAAAAGGAUUAGAUACCCUGGUAGUC